ensembl:lncRNA
UCACUAACGGGUCUUUGUUUCCUCCAGUUAUUGGGGCAGUCACGCUAACCACAACGACCGAUGCUGCCUCAAUCCCGUGGCCAUGGCGGAUGUUUCUUAAAUGUCUGCCACGGGCCUUCACCAGGGUGUCGGACGGUGCUGACGUCUUUCCAUGAAGGCAGGAGCAGGACUGGGCCAGUGUUCAUCUGCCACACUGGCGUCCUCAAAUCUGGAUCUGGAUCAUCUUGGUGGUCUGGAUCCUGUGGGUGCUUCUUACUGGAAGGUCACUGCAGUGCUGCUGGAAGUGUUGUCUACAAUAUGGCUCCCCCUUCAUGUCUGCAACUUCCACAUCGUUGGGCUCAUGGAGUGAUUUUCAAUAAAAAACUUUGAAACCGGUUUAUGCUUGUCUAUCGAACUGAUUGUGAAUAAGGAGGACUGAUGUGAUUGCUUCUCAUGUUAAGCAGUAUUUUGGUCCUCAUCCUUCAGUACCUUAUUUGUAACUAUUUCACUAGGAAAUAACAUGUUUUAUUCAACAUUUUGCAUCUCAUAAGGAGUGUGGACGUAGUUGAAAUGCAACAAACUCGCAGGGUAAAAUAGUUUUCAGUACAGAGGAAGGCAAGUUUGCGGAAAGUGAGGUCAAGGAUCCUCAAAUAUUAAGUGUUAUGACAUUGCCAGGUUGGGUAACUGUUGUGAGGUCCAUUUAACUUGAGUACAAAGGUAAUGGUUAAACAUUAGAAACAGUGUUUCGGUUCAUACAAGUAAUGAGGUUAAUGUCAAAUAUGGAAAUGUAUGAUUUUUCUAUGCAUUAAAGUAGUUGCCUUAGUCCACUCCACUUUCACUAUCCAUGCCUCUCCCAAAUGAAAUAUUGCAGCCCAAAACUCUAUACGAGACCAAAUAUAAAACGAGUUUAAAGCUGUAUGGCUUUAUAGAAAAUUAACGCCCAUUUGCAUUUACGGAAUGUGAGUUGUAGGAUGGGAAGUUAAUUUCGGUGGAAAAAUUGAAACGGGUUUUAUUUCAGUGUCACCCUAUCAAGUUGAUCUCCAACGUAAGAGGUUUUCCCUUUGAAAUUAAGAUAGCCAUUUAUCUUUUUUUCCCCCGAAGUUACAAGGAGACAUUUCAUAGUAUCCAGAUUGUGGCAGAAAUGCCACAAGAGUUUUUUGUUCACUAAACAAUAAAUGUAUUCUCUGAAUGAACCGUAGGUGGCAGCAGGACGCCGAAAGGCCUGUAGAUCACCAGUAACUAAUAAAAGAAGAAGUAGCUUAUCGUGCAUCAGCAUGGACGUAUCUUAGAACCACCAGAGGUUGUAGUUCCGUCUAACUUCAUGAAGGCGUUGGUAAGUGGAGUCCCCUUAUAACGGCGGUAUAACUCAAUUUGUAUUGCUUAAUAUAACCUCAACAGACUUUAACCGGAAACCGAUGCAAUCCUGUAUAAUAUUUCAAAUUCUGCGUUGUGGUGUUUCUGGCUAUGUCGUGGCAUUCUUGUUCGUAAUCUAUUCAAGUAUAGCGUCGUCUAACACCGUCGCUUCUAUUUGUGCUGUCUCCAAGUGAUGAUAACUUUCACAGACCUGUUCUGAAUGACUGUGAAUGCACCAUAUUUAUUCUGAAUGGAGACACUCGCCGCUCAGUUCUCUGCAUAAACCUGACGAAGACAUCGUGGGAUUCCAUCGGCCUAGGACGUGUUGGGCUGUGUCAGAACCAAUGGAGUCUGCAACGCGUUAAUGUGUUUUUUCUGUUUUAGGGUCUCAGGUGGAAGAGGAACACUGCCUUACUGCUCACUACAAAGGUAUAUUGAAGUUUAUAACGGGUUAAGUGGGCUUUGAAGUGGUCGUCCAUGAACGUAGCUUGACUGCUACCGUGAUGCUAUUGAACUCUCUCACUGAAUAUUUUGUGGAAGACAUAAAGUAUUCUGAGUAGCAAAAUGUAUGCUUGAGAUCAAAAUGUAUUUUUGAGAAUAGUGUUUAACACUGUUUCUUUCUCUACAUAGGUGGAGCAAUGAAGGCUGAAAUCCGAGGUAAUUAAGACAUUGGAGUGGGCUAGUAUUUGACCAUGUCCACGCUACGAUGAUGAUCUUCAACGCUUUUACCGAGUCACACUUUGAAGAAACUUCUUUACCAGAUUCUGAGUAACCCAAUGGAGCUCAACUCUGUUCAGUUAGACUUGACGUGAUUUUAAAAUCUCAUUUUUCUCACAGUAUGGACAGAAAAAGGAUGAUGGCUGCAUAGUUGACUGGUGAGUGUUCAGUUCUUCACUAAAAUAAUAUAAUGAGGGAUUGAAGUGAUGAUUAUCCAAUAGACAAGCAUAUGGCUGAUUUAUAUUGAUGCCAACUUUUAAUCUGACCAACCUUGAUGGGACUUUUUCAUCUUCAACUACGGUUUCUAGACGUGUGGCUAACGACAAGUUCUCUGCAGGUGGAUAUGUGAACUAGCUCCACAAACCUGGACUUCGGCCAGUUAGUCCAAUGGAGGCCAUUGUUGAGGCGAGUCCCACAAGAUCUUAAUGCUUGUACACCUGCUUCCCAAUGUUGUUUCAAUGACGAUAAACCUAGCUCACUUUGAACCGAUGUGAAACUAUACAAACUUACUGAGAAACUUCAGACCCCAUAUUGAGUGUUGACUAUAUGGGGAAGUUGCU